UCCCAGGACUCUGAGAUCCCUACCUGAGCCAAAGGCAGGUGUUUGACCAAUUGAGCCACCCAGGUGUGCCGAUGAACGAGAGUUCUUGUUUCUCAAAUCCACAGUGGUAUUUUGUAUUUCUAGUAUGUAAGCGAGCCUUUCUACUUAGAUUUACAUUUUUGCCUCCUUUGGUCGCUUGGCGUUCAGAAAGCAAAGUGUCUGUGAGACUAUUUCUUUGAGGUACUGAAAAAAACCGGUGCUGCAUACAGAAGCAACAACCCCCCUGCCACUGUCUCGGAAUUGCUGAAGAGAGAACGUUUCCGAAAUUCUCCAGUCCCGGGCAAGCACAGUUAUGGGAAUGAAGUCCGGAAGUUUGUGAUCCCGCUGCACGGGGUUACGGGAGUUAGUAGCCUGCGGCUCCUUCUGCGCAUGCACAAUACCUCGCAGGUGCUUCCAAAUGUUCCGGCAUUCUGUGGGAGACGAUCCGGAACCUCCAGGCUUCUGGCGGUCUGCAUGCCGUUCUCGGAGCUCGUGCGGCCGGAGCGGGAGGGUGUGCGAGGCGAGAAGGAUGGGGAGAUCCGAGGGGGUCUCUGCGUGGCGCCAAGAAUCUGUUGUGGGCGACGGUGCCCGGCUGUAGGGAAGAGGCCCGCGGACCCCGGCGGGUCCCUUGGCUGUUCUUCCGGAGAGCUGGGUACGAGGAGGCCUCGGUCGGAUGGAGGGAUCACGAGACGGAAGACUCUUUACUACGGGAAAGCUCUGCCUUCAGAGAUUUCUGCAUUUUUCCAAGGAAAACCAGCAAAAUAUGAAGAAGUCCUGUGCAUCCUUAUCAUUUGCGGAUGUGACUGUGGGCUUUACCUAGGAGGAGUGGCAGCACCUGGACCCUGCUCAGAGGACCCUGUACAGGGAUGUGAUGCUGGAGAACUAUAGCCACCUUGUCUCUGUGGAAAUCUGCAAAGUUGAUAGCCAAGCAGAAGAGACUCAAGAAACCCAGGACAGACAUUUCUGGCAAGGUCCAUUUAUCAACAACAAAACACUGACUGUGCACAGAGUUGGAAAAACAACGCUGAUCCAGAAAGCCAGUGAGGUGUUAAAAUCCUCCGGUGUGCCUGUCGAUGGAUUGUACACAGAAGUCAGUCAGGGAGGGAGAAGAAUAGGAUUCGAUGUUGUCACGUUAUCUGGUCUGCAGGGAGUUUUGUCCAGAAUCAGGUCAGAGCCUCCACCUCGAAAAUGUGAAUGCCGGGUUGGACUGUAUGUGGUGGAUCUGACUUCCUUCGAGCACUUGGCACUCCGGUCUUGAGGAAUGAUCAGCUGCCUUGUCCUGGCCUGUCCCCCUGGUGGCUGGAUCUCCUCUCCCUGCCUGUCUUCAUUCUCCACGAGGACCCCUUAGCACUCUCAGCAUGUAUGCCUCAUCGCCGCCUGGACGGGAGGGCUCGUAAGACCUGGAGGAGCACAAGACGAUCAACAUAGUCUGAAAUAAAGCAUGGACUGAGUGGUGUUUGGAGACCAGGUGUCCCAGCAGAUGGCGGACUGCCGUUCUCCCCUCCCCCAUUUCAGUCAGAUGACCAGGCCACUGGGACAGGCUGCAGGCUGCAAUGCUCCAUCUGGAAUGCUACAACCCCCAGGCAAUCCUUUCCUACCUGUUAGAACAUCUUCCCCAAGCUGUUUUCACUAACAACGCCUUGGACACCAAAGGUCAUGGGUGUUUUGUACACCAGGGGCCCAGGCUCUGACACCAGCUGGGUGUGGAACAAUUCAGAUCCAUUCUGAUGUGAGCUAACCCAGAGCUGGGGCAGACCUCCCGGUCCCACAAGACUACCCCCCACUUCAGAAACCAGUUGCAAGUCCUGGGCCACUCGCACUUCUGCUGGACCAGCUUUAGCCUGGGCAUUCUAGGACAUGCUCCUCAGGUUUGAGAAUUUACUAGAAUGGCUCGCAGAACUCAGGAAAGGGCUCUACUCACUACUGUAGGUUUAUUGUAAAGGCUCCAACUCCAGGACAGCCAGGUGGAUUAGGGGCACAGAGCGAGCCAUGUGGAGAGGGACAGGGCACUGCCAAACUCUCCUGGGGGGCACCAACCUCUAUCACCUCUAUGCCUUUACCAACCCAAAAGGUCUUUUUGAAAUUUUCAGGGAGGUUUUAUUACAUCGGCACAGUUGAUUAAUUCUCUGGUCAUGGGUGGUUCACUCAACCUCUAGCCCCUCUCCUCUCCCAGGAAGUCAGGAAGGGGGACAGAAAAUUCCAGCCCUCUAGCCACAUGGGUGGUCUCCUGGCUGUCAGCCCCCUUCCUGGGGCCACCAGCCAUGUCACUGGAAAGCAGAAGCUACUCUUAUUACUCUGACAAUUCCAAGGGUCUUCUGAGCUCUGUGCCACGACACAGGGACAAAGGCCUAAUACAUGUUCCCCAUGUUCUCAUGGUUCCUUGGCUCAAACCCUCCCAUGGUGCCCCAUCCACUCAGAGUUAAGGCAAGUGUUGCCCAGUGGCCUGCAAGGUGCAGCAUGACCUAGCUCCACUCAGAUCUCAUCUCCCACCAUCUUCCCCAGUCUCACUCUUCAGCCACUGCCAGCUGCUGCCCCUCACACAUAGCUGACAUGCCCUGCCUUUGGGCCUUUGCACCUGCUCUCCCUUUGCCAGAAGUAGGCUUCCCAGAUGUGUGAGCGGCUGCCUCCCUCACCACCCAGGACCUCAGCUUGAGCAUCCUCUUCUUGAGGGGGCUUCCUUGGAUGGAGACAGCAGUCUUCUCCUGGGCACUCUCUCCCCUCUCCUCUAUGUUUCUCCCUGCUGCUCACCAUUUCUGACACUCUGAGUCCCCUUGCUACCCAUUGCCUGUCUCUCCUCUGCUCCCAGCACUGAAAGCCUGGAGAAGCCCCCUCUGCUGGUCUCUGGGUCUCCCAUGCUCCAAGAACCAUGUAGUGGUUCUUUCCCUUUCUGUUGGCCAGAGAGGGUUAACCCCACCACCACCGUUGGCUGGGUGGGUGUCUGUGAGCGUCUGUGCUGCAAAGAAGGCAGGAGGGAAGGAGCGAGGCUGCCUGGGCUCAGCCCACCAUGACCAAGUGUAAGCCGGCUGAUACCCAGUGAUGUGGGGUGGGCCUGAGAGAGGAACCCCAGGUCUUCUAGCUCCCAGUCCCAUUCAGUGGACUUCACCGUGGUCAAGGUACCAGCACCGGCCACUGCAGUACUCAAACUUGGACCCCAUCCUCAGACUCCAGAUCCCACCUGGUAGGUUUUCCCGAGUCCGUAUUCGUGUCCUGACCUGAAUACGUCUUACUUGUUGGUGGGGACAGACACAUCAGCCACCCCUCACAGGGGCCAGGCCUGCAGGCGGUUCUGGUCCAAAAACAGUGGACGGUGGGGAUGCUGGUGUCACACGAGAGCACAGAGGGUAAGGAAGCACAGCCUGUGGGGACACAGCCCGUCUUCUGUGCGCGUGCUGCGGUGGAGACUGGAUUCGGUUCCCUCACGCCCUGAGGCUGGCUCCCUGGUUCCAGCAGGGACCAUUCCUCGUUGCGCAGGUGGCCUCGCACCUGCUGCCAGUUCAAGUGAUGAACACGAAAGAUGUCAUGUACCCCUAUGCUCAAGGUUUUAUGAUCUUUCUUGCAGUAAAUACAAAGACUCCUAAUUUUUUUAUACCUCAAAGCAUAAGAAAUAAUAAUAUGCUUAUUCCAAUAGACAGCAAGAUAUUGGUAUUAUCGAUCCCAAUUUCUGUUAUUUAUCAUGCUUGCUGUUCAGUUGAUCAGUGGUUUACCAACUGAUGUCUCUGAUAUGUGAAGCACAUGAACUAUUUUUGGCCAUACCAUUCUUGCUCUCAUUCUAAUAGAGAUGGUCAGAGAGGUGAGCAUCUCAUAUUUUGCUGUUAACAACCUGCUAUCUCCCCCUCAAAUAAUAUGAUUUUUAGUUGUCCAGCACUUUAUAAAGAGAAUGUCUGUCAUCUUUCAAAUCCAUCUACAAGUGUCUACUAAUCACUUUCUCCACCAAAUAGCCUUCUGAACAGCCCCUGGUCAGUGGUCCUUGGAGUGCUUACUCUAAGAGUGAUCAAUAUUGACAUAUCUGUGGACAAAUCAAUAAAUGAAUUCAAAAGGGGACAGGUUCACGCAAAAUUGACUUCUGA